rnacentral:rRNA from 1 species
GACGAACGCUGGCGGCGUGCUUAACACAUGCAAGUCGUACGGUAAGGCCCUUUCGGGGGUACACGAGUGGCGAACGGGUGAGUAACACGUGAGUAACCUGCCCACAACUUUGGGAUAACGCUAGGAAACUGGUGCUAAUACUGGAUAUGUGCUCCUGCUGCAUGGUGGGGGUUGGAAAGCUCCGGCGGUUGUGGAUGGACUCGCGGCCUAUCAGCUUGUUGGUGGGGUAGUGGCCUACCAAGGCGGCGACGGGUAGCCGGCCUGAGAGGGUGACCGGCCACAUUGGGAAUGAGAUACGGCCCAGACUCCUACGGGAGGCAGCAGUGGGGAAUAUUGCACAAUGGGCGCAAGCCUGAUGCAGCAACGCCGCGUGCGGGAUGACGGCCUUCGGGUUGUAAACCGCUUUCAGCAGGGACGAAGCUUUUUGUGACGGUACCUGCAGAAGAAGCACCGGCUAACUACGUG